AUUGAACGCUGGCGGCAUGCCUUACACAUGCAAGUCGAACGGCAGCACGGGAGCAAUCCUGGUGGCGAGUGGCGAACGGGUGAGUAAUAUAUCGGAACGUGCCCAGUCGUGGGGGAUAACGUAGCGAAAGCUACGCUAAUACCGCAUACGAUCUAUGGAUGAAAGCGGGGGAUCGCAAGACCUCGCGCGAUUGGAGCGGCCGAUAUCAGAUUAGGUAGUUGGUGAGGUAAAGGCUCACCAAGCCGACGAUCUGUAGCUGGUCUGAGAGGACGACCAGCCACACUGGGACUGAGACACGGCCCAGACUCCUACGGGAGGCAGCAGUGGGGAAUUUUGGACAAUGGGCGCAAGCCUGAUCCAAGCAAUGCCGCGUGCAGGAUGAAGGCCUUCGGUUGG
rnacentral:rRNA from 1 species